UACGAAGGGGGCUAGCGUUGCUCGGAAUUACUGGGCGUAAAGCGCACGUAGGCGGAUCUUUAAGUCAGAUGUGAAAGCCCCGGGCUCAACCUGGGAAUUGCAUUUGAGACUGCAUAGCUAGGGUGCGGAAGAGGGAAGCGGAAUUUCCGGUGUAGCGGUGAAAUGCGUAGAUAUCGGAAGGAACACCAGUGGCGAAAGCGGCUUCCUGGUCCAGCACCGACGUUCAGGCACGAAAGCGUGGGGAGCAAACAGG
rnacentral:rRNA from 1 species